CAUCUACCAAGCUUCCCCAGCCUUCAAAAAUUGGGUGUGCAGGCUGUGGAUAUUCAGGGGCAUCCCACAGAGGUGUGAUCCUGACAGCAGCAGUGACAACAGAAAAUGAACACAUUGGAAUGGGGACAGGCCCAAUCAGCUGGAAUCCCUUUGGGCUGUAGACACAAUUGAAUUCCACAUAAGCAACCUGGUG
rnacentral:lncRNA from 1 species